GUUCCAUCCAUAGGAUAAUUGAGUAAUUAAAGAUGGAUUUAAGUGGUUGAUGGAUGAAGAACGACUAGGCCAUUGUUUAAUUGAUAUUGUGGGGUUUCUUUGAGAAGAAAUUGAAAAGCUUAGGUUUCUGGAAUUCGUUGAAGAAAUGUUUUGAGAGGAACAUGAAGAAACUAAGAAAUGGGUUUUGAAAAUCAGGAUGUGAAGAAGAAGGUUAUAGUUGUAUUUUGAAAAUCUGUCUACAAAGAAGAAGAGUAAUUGAGGAAUCGAGAAUCAGGGUUCUGUUCUUGAGGAUUUUUGGAUAAGGAGAAACUAGAAGAUGAAAUUAAGGUGUUAAAGGAAAAAUUGGAGAUGGGUUUGUCAUGAAUUAGGUUUAAGACUGAAGAAUUACUUGAGAUUGUUAGUUAGGGCUCGGGAAUUGGUGAAUUGGAGUAUUUUUGAAGUUAAGGUUGAUAAACUGGAGUUGAUGAAGAACUAGGGUUUGAUUCUGGUAUCAAGAAGGUGAUGAAAUUAUUAUUGGUGCUGAUUCAGUAGACCUAUCUUGAGGUGAAUUAGCGGAUGCGAUUGACGAUUCGAAGUUCAGUAGUUUGACUCACUGAGUCUAUAACGAGCUCAAGUAAAUGGGCUCAAACGGUAGGGGCUUGCAAGGUUGGGUAGUAAUGACUUCAACUAUGAAUUAUGGACUAAUGGAUAGGGAUACGGUUUUAAUCCAACUUAUUACUUCAUCUCCUUCACCCGCGACCUGAUCCGAAAUCUCUGCAAAUUUUCCUCGCAUCUCUGUUUUUUACAGAUUUGAAUUUCUUCGAGGAAACUUUAUUAAGAGGUACAGUUCCUUAAAUUUGUACUAAGUAUUGUUUCUCUGUAUCGAAUUGAGGCGUAAAUUAAAGAUUAAAUUUAUGUUUUUAAUUGGUUGAUUCCGGUGGAAUCAAUGGAGUUUUUGAUGAACUCUGAACAUGUAAUUUAUCUGUUUGAUUAUACUUGAUGGAAAUCUAUAAUCAAUUUGCCUGAUUAUCUUAA